rnacentral:misc_RNA from 1 species
UGAAGAACGCAGCGAAAUGCGAUACUUGGUGUGAAUUGCAGAAUCCCGUGAACCAUCGAGUCUUUGAACGCAAGUUGCGCCUCAAGCCAUUAGGUUGAGGGCACGUCUGCCUGGGCGUCACAUAUCGUUGCCUGAUGCCAGUUUCCUCGUGAUGGGUGACUGUGCAGGGCGAAUGAUGGCUUCCCGUGAGCAUUGUUGCCUCAUGGUUGGUUGAAAAUUGAGUCCUUGGUAGGGAGCGCCGUGAUAGAUGGUGGUUGAGUGACGAACGAGACCCAAUCAUGUGAGACCCCUAGCGAAUUUGGCCUUCAUGACCCACAUGCGUCUUUGGAACGCUCAUGACGAGACCUCAGGUCAGGCGGGGCUACCCGCUGAGUUUAAGCAUAUCAAUAAGCGGAGGA